rnacentral:lncRNA from 1 species
ACAGCAAAGGUACUCCAGGCAAGCCUUCCUCCUAGCUGGAGAACUCACAAGGUCUGGGACUGACUUGAUACAGACUCUGCCUUGAUGUCUGAUCUGAGAUGUUCAAUUCCAUUUCCUUAAUGGCUGUCAAUCAGUUCCCCGCUGUUUCCCCUGAGGCUGGACCCAGCAGGGGUGUCUUUAGCACUUAGGAAUAGCAUAAGAACAAAGCCUGAUCCCGGAUGUUUGUUUUCCUCCAGUGAGAUCGCCCACCCCUCCACACAGUCGGGAAUGAACUCACUUGUCGCUCAGAGCUGAAUGAAUUGCUUCCCAAAUCACUGUUCUUUCCCAGGCCUCUGGUACAUCAGAACAAAUGGAAGUGGGAGGAGUACCCAUGAGAUGCCUGCAGGGUCUGUGACCUCCUGGAGUGUGGAAUUCUAGAGAGAGGAAUGUGCAACAAGCAACUAACCAAG